rnacentral:rRNA from 1 species
GAUGAACGCUGGCGGCGUGCUUAACACAUGCAAGUCGAACGGGAAAUAUUUCAUUGAGACUUCGGUGGAUUUGAUUUAUUUCUAGUGGCGGACGGGUGAGUAACGCGUGGGUAACCUGCCUUAUACAGGGGGAUAACAGUCAGAAAUGGCUGCUAAUACCGCAUAAGCGCACAGAGCUGCAUGGCUCAGUGUGAAAAACUCCGGUGGUAUAAGAUGGACCCGCGUUGGAUUAGCUAGUUGGUGGGGUAACGGCCCACCAAGGCGACGAUCCAUAGCCGGCCUGAGAGGGUGAACGGCAACAUUGGGACUGAGACACGGCCCAGACUCCUACGGGAGGCAGCAGUGGGGAAUAUUGCACAAUGGGGGAAACCCUGAUGCAGCGACGCCGCGUGAAGGAAGAAGUAUCUCGGUAUGUAAACUUCUAUCAGCAGGGAAGAUAGUGACGGUACCUGACUAAGAAGCCCCGGCUAACUACGUG